rnacentral:lncRNA from 1 species
CAUCAACAGAUGACGGCGUCCCUGUGGCACUGACUGAUCGCACUGGCUGCGACUUCCCGUAAUUCCCUCCCACUGAUGUUGGUCUGGAACGGCCGCAGCAGAAAGUGGUGCAAACAUCUAGUGCAGUGCACGGAGGCGUCGUUUCUUAACCCCGUGAGGUCAUGAACUGGCGUUUUGGCCUCAGCGCCUGUGAGCCGCGUGCGUCUGAGAGUCCAGGAGCUACUGGUGACAUCGUGGUUUGAGGUCACAUGACAGCGAGCGAGCUAAAAUGGGGCUCCUGGUCUCUAAAGCCUAAGCUAAACACCUCGGCUGUGAAGGGUCGUUCCAGGGUCAGAGGAAAUUGAAAAUAUGUUCUCUAGACAAACUCACACGCGUGGCGCUGCACACACUCCCUCCUCGCGAGCGCUGACAGACUAUUUUUAUUUCUCUCGCUGACUGUCACGCGUCCACAUGUUCCCCACUUGGGCUCACGGAGGCAAGCGAGUGCGUGUGUUUAGGUAAAGCAUUAAAAG